rnacentral:lncRNA from 1 species
GCUGGUGGCAUGCUUUUCAAAUUUCAUACUUGUUACACGAGAGCGUACAUCAAAUCAUUCUAACUUUUGGCAAAAUCAGUUAUUACUUCAUCAGAACUUGAUGAAAUUAGCCUAAAGUAAACUUGUCAUCCAUGUAUUGCAUUAGAAACGUCAUAUUUCUUUCCAAAUAGCGUAUCAAACAUCGUUUAUUUUUGUAAAUUUUUCUUCGUCCGACAUUUAAAUUUGUAGAACUACGGAUCGGAAUCGGGAUUUCAUCGGAAACGGACCCGCUAUGACCGAAAUCCGGAUUCUUGCGAUAAUGACUACAGACGCAUGAAUGGCACUGCUGACAGACAAAAAUUGAUCCCAAAAGUGAAAAUUACGCAUUCCACACGCAUUAACAUACUUUUGGUUAGAUCUUCUUGAUUAAUGUAUAUAUUUCCAUGUAUAAGCAUUGUUUCAAUUUAUAGGUUAAAGUUGCUUAACUCUAGGACUAUUACACCAGAGACAUAUAUACACAUGUGUAUAUAUAUGUCUCUGCAUACACUAAGAGGUUCCUGACUGGGUGACUGGUAUAUAUAGUGUAUAUGCAGC